ensembl:lncRNA
AAAGAGUCACCCUCACUUAAAAACAAUUCCGUGUAAACAAUGUACAAACAGCGGAAUUUCACAUUUUAAGACUCUUCAGAAGAUAGGUAUUUUUUUCUUAACAUGACAUUUGUCAUGCGUGUAAAAUAAUGUUCGUUAUAUUGUUUUAUGGUCUGCCUGUCUAGAUACUAUUUAGCUUGAGGUACAGAAUUGCUUCCAACCUUCUUUAAGAUAGUUUCUUGUAUCCAUCUCCUGUCUCUACAAUAAUUACCAUCCAUUCUAUGUCUAUACAACUUUUAUUAAUGUUUGGAUCUUGCCUCCAAGUCUUUAUUGUCCUUUCUAAUACUAAUGUAUCUCUACAACAUCAGAAUGUUUUCCCAAAUGUUCGCAGUUACAUUUACAUAUAGGGAGCAUUUUAGCUUCUCUGGUGAAAGGGGAGAAAAUAAAGCUGGUGAAUGGUUUUCCCUGUUAUAUUGUGGAAGUUGUUUUUAAUUUUAUUCUUACUAAUUAAAUUUUGACAAUUUCACACAUUUGUAUAAUGCAGACUGGCCACCGUCACCUCCCACCUUCUGCUACCCACCCUGCUACACCUGGCUAUGCCCUGUCUUGUAAAUCUCUUCCUCUGUAAUGUCUGUUCCAGGGCCUUCCAAAUUUAAGCAGAGCCAUCUCUGUGACCAUGGGUUGGAGUUAUCCAUUAGAGUCUGAUGGGCUCAUUAGAGGGUACAAAACUGAAGACAUCUAGGCACUAUUUUAUUAGUCAAGAAUGGAGUCUCUCCCCACUUUGUUUUUCAUCCUAGCAGCCCUGGUUAGUUCUUCAUUGGAAGAAAACUACUGCCUACAGAAGGGAUG